rnacentral:misc_RNA from 1 species
UCCUCGUUAACCGAGGCAGUCUCGUAUGAAAAAUCCAACAUACGACAGGGGUUGCGCUCGUUGCGGGACUUAACCCAACAUCUCACGACACGAGCUGACGACGACCAUGCAGCACCUGUCACCGGGCUCCUUGCGGCACCCCCCUGUUUCCAGGGGGUUCCCGGGAUGUCAAGCCCUGGUAAGGUUCUUCGCUUAGUAUCGAAUUAAACCCCACGCUCCACUGCUUGUGCGGGUCCCCGUCAAUUCCUUUGAGUUUUAGCCUUGCGGCCGUACUCCCCAGGCGGGGUACUUAACGCGUUAGCUUCGAUACCCAGGGGGUCUAUGCCCCGAAUACCUAGUACCCAUCGUUUACGGCGUGGACUAC